rnacentral:rRNA from 1 species
UUGUAAAGCACUUUCAGUCGUGAGGAAGGUAGUGUAGUUAAUAGCUGCAUUAUUUGACGUUAGCGACAGAAGAAAGCACCGGCUAACUCCGUGCCAGCAGCCGCGGUAAUACGGAGGGUGCGAGCGUUAAUCGGAAUUACUGGGCGUAAAGCGCAUGCAGGUGGUUUGUUUAAGUCAGAUGUGAAAGACCCGGGGCGUCAACCUACGGAAUAGCAUUUGUAAACUAGGCAGACUAGAGUACUGUAGAGGGGGGUAGGAAUUUCAGGUGUAGCGGUGAAAUAGCGUAGAGAUCUGAAGGAAUACCGGUGGCGAAGGCGGCCCCCCUCGGACAGAUACUGACACUCAGAUGCGAAAGCGUGGGGAGCAAACAGGAUUAGAUACCCUGGUAG